CAGUGCCGCGGUAAAACGAAGGGGGCUAGCGUUGCUCGGAAUGACUGGGCGUAAAGGGUGCGUAGGCGGCUUGACAAGUCUUGUGUGAAAUCUAUGGGCUCAACCCAUAGUCUGCACGGGAAACUGUCGGGCUUGAGAAUGGGAGAGGUGAGUGGAAUUUCCGGUGUAGCGGUGAAAUGCGUAGAUAUCGGAAGGAACACCUGUGGCGAAGGCAGCCCCCUGGGCCAAUACUGACGCUCAUGCACGAAAGCGUGGGGAGCAAACAGGAUUAGAUACCCCCGUAGUCCCUGUCUCUUAUACA
rnacentral:rRNA from 1 species